ACUAUGUCACAUUGAAACACCGGUUCUCAUACAUUCACCAAAGUUAAGCAACACUGACCCUGUUCAGUACCUAGAUGGGUGACCACUUGGGAAUACCAGGUGCUGUA
rnacentral:rRNA from 1 species